rnacentral:sRNA from 2 species
AUAGCAGUUAUGAGUAUGCGUGUUUCAUUUACGGCCAGGAACGCUGAUGAUGACAACAUUACUCCCUCUUUUCCGGGUACCUACAUCAUUCACUCCCUUUGACGGCGAGCGCUUCAUCGGCGUCUGUUCGUCGUCUGGCCCCUUUUCUUUUUU